AGCAGCCGCGGUAAUUCCAGCUCCAAUAGCGUAUAUUAAAGUUGUUGCAGUUAAAAAGCUCGUAGUUGAAUUUCGGGAUCAAUUUAUCGGUCGUGCCAACGGUAUGAACUGGUACAAUUGGUUUCUCCCUUCUGAUGAAGCACGAUGUCAUUAACUUGGUGUCGUGGGGAAUCAGGACUGUUACUUUGAAAAAAUUAGAGUGUUUAAAGCAGGCCUUGGCUUGAAUACAUUAGCAUGGAAUAAUGAAAUAGGACGUUUGAUCCUAUUUCGUUGGUUUCUAGGAUCGACGUAAUGAUUAAUAGGGAUAGUUGGGGGCAUUAGUAUUCAAUUGUCAGAGGUGAAAUUCUUGGAUUUAUUGAAGACUAACUACUGCGAAAGCAUUUGCCAAGGAUGUUUUCAUUAAUCAAGAACGAAAGUUAGGGGAUCGAAGACGAUCAGAUACCGUCGUAG
rnacentral:rRNA from 1 species